CUGAUGUCCUUCUCUCCUCCUCUUCCUCUUGGUCUCUCGGUAUCCCAGCAUCUUCCCAGCAGGACUGCUUGUUCUCUCUGGCAAGUCCUUCCUCCCUGGCUCCCUCCCUAAUCCUGAAGCAGCUGCCGGCUGGCCUCCAGGUUCUAAAGUCCCAUGCACACCAGCUCUUCCUUCCAGCCACUGCUGCCCACACACCCUGAGCUCCAAGCCAACGGGAGAGGCCAAGGGGGCAUCUGGAGGAGGACUGCUUGGUGUCUACUCCAGGACCAUAUCAAGCAUGUCAGAACAGAAAACGGAAUCCUCUGCAGGGCCAGACACGAGCUCAUGAGUCCUUGUGUGACCUUCUGGGAAAUCAGUGUUCAGACUGGCAGCUGUUUUGCUGGAGAAAGAUGACAGUGCUCUGUUCCCCGAAGCCCAUGUGCCUGGUGGGAGAGGCAGCUGCAGAGCACAGGUGCGGUGUCUCCUCUACCCACGCCAUGGCAGACAUCCAGGGUUGACGCCAGCACAGGUCUGCUGAGCACCCUGCAAGAUGACAUCCACGUAGAGCUGGAGGGCUGGAGAAGAGCUUGCCACCCAGAUGGAUACAGACCAGCCCCAUAUUCUGGCCCCACCGCUUCAUUUGGGCAGUCUAUUUCCCUGAGCUUCGGUUCUCUCAUUUGUAAAGGGAGAUAAGCAAACA
rnacentral:lncRNA from 1 species